rnacentral:lncRNA from 1 species
UCGUUCGUUUCAGAAUGAGCCAGUUGCCAAUUAAAAUUGAUUUCAUGAUUUUUUUUCGUAGGUGAGACUGAUUCGAUAAAUGAAGAUGAAAUCAAAUCCAGGCAAAGGAGAGAAUUCGGAGAUGUGACUGUUAUCCUUGAUGGAGACGUGAAGAGGAUCUCUCCACAGUCCCUCGGCAUCCUUACCUCGACAGCUCAGACCUUUGUCCAAAAGGGGACCACCACCGAGUUUGCCACUCAAGUCUUGGGAACAACCCUAGGCUCAAACUAUGCUAAACUUGUGUCUGCAGGGUCGAGAGUUAUCUACGAUAACGAUCUCAAAUCGUCUAUAAAGAGGUUCUCUUCCCUCGAUCCUUUCCUUAUAUUCCCUACCAUCCAUCCCUCCCAAGUUAUUAUUACAGGAAACGCAUACGAUUCGGUAGAAAGGGUUCCUGAGAUCCCUGAAAUAGUUAACAAUGACGAGCCGAAGGAUGAAAGGCUCGAGGAGGCAACUGUUCAAUCAGUUUCCUCGUCCGAGCGUAAAGAGAAGGGUUCCAAAGACAGUCUGGAGAUUAGCGAAAAUGUCGUUGCAUCUGUUCGGAAAGAAACAUCUGUUAAGAGAAACGAGAGAGCCAACGAUGAUAUAAAACCUGCAAAUGUGGCAAAACAUAGAUACCUACCCACAUUUACAGUGCGACAUGACUUUACAUCCAGCGGUUUUACAAAUGAUUUUACAGAGCCUGCGGAAGAGGAAAGAACAGAGAAGAACGAACCUAGAGUUACAAAAUCUCAAAGAUUAUCAAAAAAUCUUUUCAAACCAGAACGAGAACCCGCCACAACAACGAACAAACCUCCAAAAUAUGACACAGUAACGUAUUUUGGAUUUGCUGACUUCGUAACAACAGUAGGGAAUACUGUGAUCGUGUUCAUGCCAAAUACGCCAGCCUCUUCUGUGCCUCAAGAUGUGACCAAGGUGAGAGGGGAGGCAACAUUACGGCCAGAGGAUGCUAUUCAUGCAACUAAAGCCCAGAGUUCUCUCAUUCAACCCACAAAAACGCAAACUAAAGUUGACGCAACGCAGGUAGUUCCACCGUACAGGCAACGUCAACAACAGAUUGAGCAAGCACGACGUAAGAACAAACCUCAAAACCAACUGAGUAGCUCGAAGUUGCUCGAAUCGUCUAUGUCGGAUAUCAAUGAAGAGGGAAAUCUUCACGCUCCAACUCAGGUAAAAUCAAGUCAGACAGAAACCGAGCCUUUAUCGAAAUACGCAUACACAGCUACCAGAGUCUUUAAUUCGGACGAACAUGCUACUGGUCUCGUCAAGUCUAUCAUAUUAAACAUGGCUAUGAUGGAACGACGACCGAUUUUACGACAUUUGUCUAUGGCACGCACAUAGAUCGAAAAUACACCCAACUACUUCAGUCAACAUCGGUAGUUAUAAAAGACAAACUGAAAACUAAUGAAGUUCAUCUAAAACCUCCUACGAAAUUAGAGGGCUCUAUCGACCAUGACUUUAACGAGAUUACAACGGAAAACGCCAAGCCAAAAUUUAAUCUUAAAGAACCUCAUCGAUUCCAACCGCAACGUCACCAUAACACUAGUUCUAAACGUCCCUUUGAGGAAUCUAAUCAAGAUAGGUCGAGAAAAAUUAUUCAUUCCUCCAAGAACAUCCCUCACCAAGCAGCUCAGCCAGAAAACAAAACGAAAUUCAGACUGGUAAGGUCAGACUUUUACCGUCCACAGUUUUCAUAACGAACACUUAUUUGACCACAUUCUUCUUCCCUGCAAACGAUGUUCCCACAUCCUCCUCAGUUCAGUCACGUGAAGUAGUUUCAACAAAAGUAAAAUAUGUUAGAGUUAAAGGCACUUCAAAGCUCCCAAUCGCUUCUAGCUCUGUCGAGUCAACGCCGAAAGCUUCUGUGACUGAAAAAGCUCCCACCACCGAACCGCUACCCGUUACUUUCCGCUCGACCACGGAAGCAGUAACUGAGGCACUCAGUGACAACGCAACGACCGUUUCAGAGACUC